rnacentral:rRNA from 1 species
AACCCUCGUUCGUAUGUUGCCAGCACGUAAUGGUGGGAACUCAUGGGAUACUGCCGGGGUCAACUCGGAGGAAGGUGGGGAUGACGUCAAAUCAUCAUGCCCUUAUGUCUUGGGCUUCACGCAUGCUACAAUGGCCGGUACAAAGGGCUGCAAUACCGUAAGGUGGAGCGAAUCCCAAAAAGCCGGUCCCAGUUCGGAUUGAGGUCUGCAACUCGACCUCAUGAAGUCGGAGUCGCUAGUAAUCGCACAUCAGCUACGGUGCCGUGAAUACGUUCCCGGGUCUU